rnacentral:rRNA from 1 species
UACAGAGGGUGCAAGCGUUGUUCGGAAUUAUUGGGCGUGAAGCGCGUGUAGGCGGCAUUGCAAGUCGGGUGUGAAAGCCCUCAGCUCAACUGAGGAAGUGCGCCCGAAACUGCAGUGCUUGAGUACCGGAGAGGAUGGCGGAAUUCCCCAAGUAGAGGUGAAAUUCGUAGAUAUGGGGAGGAACACCGGUGGCGAAGGCGGCCAUCUGGACGGAUACUGACGCUGAGACGCGAAAGCGUGGGUAGCAAACGGG